CCUACGGGUGGCAGCAGUGAGGAAUAUUGCGCAAUGGCCGAAAGGCUGACGCAGCGACGCCGCGUGAAGGAUGAAGUCCGUUAGGAUGUAAACUUCUUUUGCAGGGGAUGAAUGUCUCGAAUUCAUUCGGGAUUGACCGUACCCUGCGAAUAAGGAUCGGCCAACUACGUGCCAGCAGCCGCGGUAAUACGUAGGAUCCGAGCGUUGUCCGGAAUUACUGGGUGUAAAGGGCGUGUAGGUGGGUUUCCAAGUCGGUGGUGAAAGCCUGCAGCUUAACUGC
rnacentral:rRNA from 1 species